rnacentral:rRNA from 1 species
GAACGCUGGCGGCGUGCCUAAUACAUGCAAGUCGAGCGGAGAAUGUGGAGCUUGCUCCACAUUCUUAGCGGCGGACGGGUGAGUAACACGUGGGCAACCUGCCCUGCAGAUCGGGAUAACUNCGGGAAACCGGNGCUAAUACCGAAUAGUUUGNUUCACCGCCUGGUGAAACACGGAAAGACGGNUUCGGCUGUCACUGCAGGAUGGGCCCGCGGCGCAUUANCUAGUUGGUGGGGUAAUGGCCUACCAAGGCAACGAUGCGUAGCCGACCUGAGAGGGUGAUCGGCCACACUGGGACUGAGACACGGCCCAGACUUCUACGGGAGGCAGCAGUAGGGAAUCUUCCGCAAUGGACGCAAGUCUGACGGAGCAACGCCGCGUGAGUGACGAAGGUUUUCGGAUCGUAAAACUCUGUUGUGAGGGAAGAACAAGUACCAACUAACUACUGGUACCUUGACGGUACCUCACCAGAAAGCCACGGCUAACUACGUGCCAGCAGCCGCGGUAAUACGUAGGUGGCAAGCGUUGUCCGGAAUUAUUGGGCGUAAAGCGCGCGCAGGCGGUCCCUUAAGUCUGAUGUGAAAGCCCACGGCUCAACCGUGGAGGGUCAUUGGAAACUGGGGGACUUGAGUGCAGAAGAAGNAAAGUGGAAUUCCACGUGUAGCGGUGAAAUGCGUAAGAGAUGUGGAGGNACACCAGUGGCGAANGNGACUUUUUGGNCUUUNACUGACGCUUUAGGCGCNNAAAGCGUGGGGGAGCAACAGGANUUAAAAUACCCUUGGUAGUNCACCCCCGUAAACNAUG